rnacentral:rRNA from 1 species
CCUACGGGAGGCAGCAGUGGGGAAUCUUGCGCAAUGGGCGAAAGCCUGACGCAGCCAUGCCGCGUGAAUGAUGAAGGUCUUAGGAUUGUAAAAUUCUUUCACCGGGGACGAUAAUGACGGUACCCGGAGAAGAAGCCCCGGCUAACUUCGUGCCAGCAGCCGCGGUAAUACGAAGGGGGCUAGCGUUGCUCGGAAUUACUGGGCGUAAAGGGAGCGUAGGCGGAUAGUUUAGUCAGAGGUGAAAGCCCAGGGCUCAACCUUGGAAUUGCCUUUGAUACUGGCUAUCUUGAGUACGGAAGAGGUAUGUGGAACUCCGAGUGUAGAGGUGAAAUUCGUAGAUAUUCGGAAGGACACCAGUGGCGAAGGCGACAUACUGGUCCGUUACUGACGCUGAGGCUCGAAAGCGUGGGGAGCAAACAGGAUUAGAUACCCUGGUAGUCCACGCUGUAAACGAUGAGUGCUAGUUGUCGGCAUGCAUGCAUGUCGGUGACGCAGCUACGACAUUAAGACACUCCGCCGUCGGGGUAGGUACGGUCGCGAGAAUUAAACUACAAGAAGUAGACGCGNGAGAGUGCCGACGACGACGACGAGGGAGGUUAGG